rnacentral:rRNA from 1 species
UCGAGAAUUUUUCACAAUGGGCGCAAGCCUGAUGGAGCGACGCCGCGUGGGGGAUGAAGGGUUUCGAUCCGUAAACCCCUGUCAUUUGCGAACAAACCUUGAUUGUGAAUAGCGAUCGAGCUGAUUGUAGCGGAAGAGGAGGGGACGGCUAACUCUGUGCCAGCAGCCGCGGUAAUACAGAGGUCCCAAGCGUUGUUCGGACUCACUGGGCGUAAAGGGUGCGUAGGUGGUCGGUGAAGUUCGGUGUGAAAGCUCGGAGCUCAACUCCGAAACGGCAUUGAAAACUCAUCGGCUGGAGGGUCGGAGGGGAGACUGGAAUUCUCGGUGUAGCAGUGAAAUGCGUAGAUAUCGAGAGGAACACCAGUGGCGAAGGCGAGUCUCUGGACGCCUCCUGACACUGAGGCACGAAAGCCAGGGGAGCAAACAG